CUGAAAAAGCUUCAGCUCGUUGUCCUGCCAAGUUCUGUAAAGGGAGCCCUGCCCGGUGAGAUCCCUAUUUCUGUGGCUCCCCCCUUUUCCCCUCUUCCCAGAUCCCUCUCUUUUCCUCUCUCCCUCUCCCCUGAUCACUCUUUUCCUCUCCUCCCAAUCCCCCUCUUUUCUUAUAGCCUACUGUGGAUAGAGACGGAACAGGGACACAUCUGGUCCGCUACAACUGAAUCUGGAGAGACAAACACCAACCUUUCACACAAAGCUAACUUGGGUUCUCCUGCUGUCCCCUGCAGAUUGACGAGGGAUGUGUCUGCCUGGCCGGCACGGCAGCAAGGUCAAUCUCUGAGUGUGCACAGAGGGACGCAUCUCCCGGACAGCGUUGACUCUCCUGGUGUUCACAGCUGUUGUGGACUCCACCUGCACCCACCUCUCGCUCUGACGUCUCUGAAUACCAACAAGGAGGAAGACACAGAAAGGCAGGUGGGCCGGCAUUAUGUUGGAGGAAUUCUGUACCAGCAACACAGACGGGACAGAGGCGGGUGCCGAUAAGAUAGAUCAUGGGAUUGUAAGGCCCAGGAGCCCACAUGGGACCCAGCGGAGAGUUAAAGUCCAACUACACUCUGAUGAUACAGACGCACCGCCACCGCCAUUCCAACCGGAUAAACACUCCAGCAAUGGCUGCCGUUCAGUGGAGUCUCUGGAUGCUGGAUUGAGACAAAGAGUGUGUGUGACUGUGCAGCCUACCAGUAAACCUUCAGGCUGCUGCUGUGGCGUAAGCCGCAGGAAGGGCCUUGGGCCUUGUGUACUGUGCUGCAGCCAAAGUAAACCGAUCACAGACGUCUGCAAUGACUCUGACAGUAACACUCCAGUCCAGAGAGCAGGGAUCUCACCUCAGACGUACACAGCGGAUAAAACAGGAUAUGUUACACAGAGCAUUGUGGGUACUGUAGUACAUCAUGGUACAGAUGUACGUAGGAGUGUCAAGGAGUUGGAGUCGCAGGAGUUGUCUCCUCUGUGCAAUACAAGGACACUGCCAGGUGAGGGCAAGAACUGGUUUCAGAGCUUGCUCUACUCUGGUACCUCCUUAGGUGAUAGAGGCAAGGAGGCUGUAGGGGGCAAAGUGUCAGGCUCAGCAUCCUCAGUCCCAUCUUCCCCCACAAGAGUCGCUACGGGCAGCUUUGCCUUCUGUCUCGUAGAGGAGAUGACGUCAUCAACAGUCGCUGACACCAGCUGUACCCACGGACUCAGAGAUGGGCACAUCAGCCCAGGGGGCAAGGCCAAAAAGCAAAGGUGCUCUACACUGGCACUCCUUCCCACCAGCCCUCCCAAAAGCCCCACAGCUUUGAAGAUGGACUCAGACAAUGGGUUAGGAUUUGACUGCGAGACUGAGGAUAGCUUUGUAUAUAAUAAGAGGGAGCGUUCGACGGUCCUGGUCCGUAGGUUCUUGAGGGAUAACCAGAGGGUGAAGAAGUCUGUGUGUACAGGGACUAGGGCAAUCAUCAGGACAUUACCCUCGUGGAGGAUCAGUGAGGAAGCGUGGGACGCUGUCUGCAGAAGGGACCGUUUCUCUGGGCCUAGGGAAUACAGUCGCUUGAGUGGAUACAGUUCAACCUCUCAGAGUCUACAUCUGCAAGCAUGUAAACCUCACCUUGGAAAUAAAGGAGACAUGUUUUUUGAGGCAUGCCAUGCUCUGAGUGCUGAAGUAAGGGUGGCCAGAUCCGGAGAGCUACUCCUUUCUUCCAGGAAGCUGCUGUUGUCUGCCGAGAGGAGGGAUCUGUGUCGUAGGAGGGCCACAUUGCCAUGGCCAGGAGGAGGAGGGGCGUCUAGCUACCGAGCAACCCUACAGAGGACUGACGUUUCUGCCUACAUUUCAGGGACCCUCCUGGAAGUGGUUCUGUCCAUCGGCAACAGGGGAGAAAACGACUCUCCUCCCUGUAUCACAACAAGUCCAUUGGGCUGGGCUGUCCUGAAAGAGCGCCAGCUGCACUCCCCCAUGGCGGGGUCCAGCGUGGUGCCGGCAGCUCCGCUGGCAGAGGUCAACAAGGAGCUGUCUGACCUCUGUCCCCUGGUCAGUUUCCCGGAGGAGAUGGCCUACGUCCUCAUGGAGCAGGAGCUGCAUCUAUACAGCCGGAUCUUACCCCUGGACUACCUCUGUUUCCUCACCCUCGACCUGGGGGGCCCUGAUCAGCCACAGCCCCAGGGGCAGGCACACCAACCUGGACAACCCCAUCUUAUGGCUGGCUGCAGACGGCCCCACAAUGCUGUAGAGGACCUGGUCACAAGAUUCAAUGAGGUGAGCUCCUGGGUGACGUGGAUGAUUAUGACAGCCGGUUCUAUGGAGGAGAAGAGAGAGGUGUUCUCAUGUCUGGUCCAUGUGGCCAGGUGCUGUUGGAACAUGGGAAACUAUAACACCGUCAUGGAGUUCCUGGCUGGACUCAGGUCUCGCAAGGUGCUGAAGAUGUGGCAGUUCAUGGAGCAGUCGAACAUCGAGACAAUGCGUGCUCUGAAGGAUGCUAUGGCGCACCACGAGACAUCUGCAGAGUACAGGAAGGUGGUCUCGCGUGCCCUACACAUCCCGGGCUGCAGGGUAGUGCCCUUCUGUGGGGUCUUUCUGAGAGAGCUAGGGGAGGCCCUGGAUGGAGCAGCUAGCCUGAUCAGCCUCAGACCACGCCUCAGCUCACAGGACUCUGUGGAGUUUCUCUCUGACUACAACGGACAGGACAACUUCUUGCAACGGGCGGGGCCAGAUGGGCUCAACCAACAAGAGAAGGAAGGAACUGUCAAUAACAUCCUACAGACCAUCCGUAGCUGCAACCGCAGUAUGGAGUCUGAGGAUGGGGAGGAGUCCGGAGGGGCUAGUGAUGGGAGCAUCCCUGGUUCACGUAAAAACUCCUUCAUGGACGGCUACCGCAACCAGUUCACCGUGGGCGAUCUCUCCGACUCUGCGGGUGACCCAUCUGACCUAUCACAGGGCAAAGACCCAGACCUCCAGGGUAGUGGUGAGAGGACUCAGAAGGCCUUUGCCCAUGGUACGGAGCUCAUCCCCUGGUACAUCCUUACCCUCCACCCCCACGUGCAGCACUUCCUCCAGCAGGGCGCUACUGUGAUCCAUUAUGAUCAGGACUCCCACCUCACCGCCCGCUGCCUGCUCAGACUCCAACCUGACAAUUGUGUCCUCACCUGGGCCAAGCUCCACAGUGGCGGUGGGGGCCUCCCUGGUUCUAGCUCUGUCCCUGAGUCAUCCAAGCUUCGGAGCCCCACCGGGUCAGGGGCUGGUGGUCAGACCCUCCCCCACUGCAGGCCUCAGUACUGCGGGCAGUCCAUACUGAAAGGCCUGGCGGAUGGAUUCCUGGAUCUCUCCGUGGCUAAAGCUGUCUUCAUGGGCCAUCCAGGGGCUGACAUUCAGGCGGUAUGCCUGCAGAACAAGCUCUCAUGUGGGUUGAGCCUGGAGGAGUGUGGGGUGACUCUGCUCUAUGGGCUCCAUACAACAGACAAUAGGUUAUUACACUUUGUGGCCCCCAGAAACACAGCUAGGAUGGUGUAUUCUGGGCUGCAGGCCCUGUUAGCUGCUCACAGGAGGAUGAGGAGGUUCCCUGAUCAAAGGCUGCAGUGGCUCCGUAGGAAGUACAUCAACCUCUAUCAGGAGGAUGGCAGGUACGAGGGUCCGACACUAGCCCAGGCCAUCGAGCUGUUUGGAGGCAGGAGAUGGAGUGUGGGUGCUGGUAGCAUGGAGAAGUCUGGAGCUCAGAAGAGCAGCCAUCUCACUGUGACCUCCAAUCAGAAGACUGGUAGCUCUAAUAAAAAGAAAAAGAAGGCUGUGACUAGGGGGGACAGUGGGGAUGCCACAGAUGAUGAGAUGGUGUCACAUAAGGUGAAGAGUGGUUGGGAUAUCUUAGUACGGAGUGCACCGGACCCAACAGACAACAUGGACCAAGACCAAGAUGACAACAGCUCCUAUGGUUUCCCAGGGCCUCUCUCCCCCUCCAGCAGUAGAUCCAUGGUCAUUAGCACAUCUUCCUCCUCCAUCUCCUCCUCAUCCUCAGCCUCCAAUCAGAAGGCUCAACCGGGUAAUAGGCCCAAUCAGACACUACCUAGCCGGGGUAAGAGCCAAUCAAAGAGCUUCCAGAACCUCAUGGUAUCAGAUGGCACCAUGAGCUUUACUGAGUUUAUUGAGCUCUUUAAGUCCUUCAGUAUCCGGAGUCGUAAGGACUUGAAAGAUGUGUUUGAUGCCCAUGCUGUGCCCUGUGGUCAGUCUGCCUCUGAGCCUGCUCCUCUCUACACUCACCUCAGCAUCGACGACACAGUCACAGAACUGCAGCCAGACCUGGACCUUCUGACACGUAACAGCCUGGAUCUUGGCCUUUCCAUCCGGAUCAAGCGACACAUGUCAGACAAUCAGAAGCAUAUUUCAGACGCCAUAGCUGCAGCCAGCAUCGUGACCAACAGUACUGGCGUGGAGAGUGUCUCGCUGGGAGCUCUGGGCAUGACCAUCAUGCACCUCAAUGACUUCCUGGUCAACUGUCAGGGAGAGAACCACUCGCAUGAUGAAGUCCUAAGAAUUAUCCAGAAAUUUGAACCGUCUGCCAGUUUGCGUCAGAUUGGCUGGAUGUCCUUUGAGGGAUUUGCACGGUAUCUGAUGGACAAGGACAACUCUGCUUCCAAACUGGAGGAGUCUCAGCUGAAUGUGUUAGAGCUCCAGUACCCUCUGUCUUACUACUACAUCGCUACAUCACACAACACCUACCUGACUGCCCACCAACUCAAGGGAGAGUCAUCUGUGGAGCUGUACAGCCAGGUGCUCCUGCAGGGAUGCAGGAGUGUUGAACUGGACUGUUGGGAUGGAGACGAUGGCAUACCAAUCAUCUAUCAUGGACACACCCUCACUACCCGCAUACCCUUCAAGGAUGUGGUGGAAGCAGUGAACCGAUCAGCCUUUGUGACCUCUGACCUGCCUGUGAUGCUGUCCAUAGAGAAUCACUGCUCCCUGCCGCAGCAACGAAAGAUGGCCAACAUCUUCAAGACUGUGUUUGGGGAUAAGCUGGUGACAAAGUUCCUGUUUGAGAGUGAUUUCUCGGACGACCCGCUGUUGCCAUCACCAUGGCAACUGAGGGGGAAAAUCCUCCUCAAGAACAAGAAGCUGAAAGCUCACCAGACGCCGGUGGACAUCCUCAAACAGAAAGCUCACCAGUUGGCACAGAUGCAUGCUCAGGCCAGUAGUGUGAUGCCUCCUCCCUUCCCAACCAUCAACAAUGAGGAAGAAGAGGAAGAAGAGUAUGAGGAUGAAUAUGACUAUGAGUACGAAUCACUAUCUGAUGCUGACGUCCCCACUUUAUCUCCUGCUUCUUAUGUCCCAGAAGAUAAUAUCCUGGAGGAUAGACCGGAGGGAAAGUCUUCAUCGGGGGAGAAGUUACAGACUGAACACAGUGACGAAGUCCCCAAGAAGAUGAAGAAAUGUGAGAGUGCUACUCACAACAAAGGAAAGGUAUUUGGCAAGGAGUUGGAGGAAGAAUUCAAGCUGCCUCGAAGCAAGAAGGAAGGACGACAGAUAGCCCAGGAGCUCUCAGAUCUGGUGAUCUACUGUCAAGCUGUCAAAUUCCCAGGUCUAUCCACCCCUACUCCAUCUGAUACUCCCAGGGAGAGAAAAGAGAGAAAAGAAGUUCUUUCUUCUAGAGGAAAGGGCAGGAGGUCCAUCUUUGGGAAUCCCCCAGGGAAAGGUUUUCCAGGGGACCCAUCGACAGUGAUGCGCACCCCAGGGCGAGGAGCAGCAUCAGAGGGCCCCCGUCCCAACUGGGAAGAAUCACCCACCUCCCUCAGCUCCCUCAUCCGCACCCCAAAAUGCUAUCACGUUUCCUCAGUCAAUGAGAACGCUGCCAAGCGCCUGUGUCGCCGCUACUCCCGGAAGCUGAUCCAACACACCAGCGCCCAGCUCCUGCGAACUUACCCGGCAGCCACACGUAUUGACUCCACCAACCCCAGUCCCCUACUCUUCUGGCUGCAUGGAAUACAGCUGGUCGCUCUCAACUACCAGACCGAUGACCUGCCCCUGCAGCUGAACGCGGCCAUGUUUGAGCCUAACGGGGGUUGUGGGUAUGUACUGAAGCCCCCGGUCCUGUGGGAUGCCAGCUGCCCACUCUACAGACACUUCUGCCCCCUUGACAGAGACCCAGAGGGCAUGAGCCCCGCCUUGUUCACUCUCACUAUCAUCUCUGGUCAGAAUGUAUGCCCAGGGACCACAGCAGGCAAUCCCUACAUUGAGGUAGACAUCAUGGGCAUGCAGGCAGACGGGUGCCACUUCCGCACCAAACCCAUCCACCGUAACCCCCUGAACCCCAUAUGGAACCAGAGCUUCCACUUCCCCCUACUCAUGGCUGACCUGGCCUUCCUACGGUUUACUGUGGUGGAACACAACAGCUCCCAGACCACGGCUCAUAGGAUCAUACCACUCAGAGCACUCAGGACAGCUAUCCUUCCAAGAACAAGCUACUACUACUACUCAACUGUCAUUCAACCAAUCGAUAGAAAAAGAGCAGACUCUCUGAGCUAUCCAUUCGUACCGGCACCCAAAACGAGUAGAGCUUUCCAUUUCAAUUCACUUGAAGCAGUGACCCUCUCAAUACCGGGAAGCAGGAUCGAACAUGAUGGCUACAUCUACAAAAUGGAACAAAAGCCUGCAAACAACAAUUCAUACUGCAUGUGCAUCAAAUAAUUAUCACAAGUGCCGAGGUCCCAUGGUCUUCACUGACUGGGGGACCAAUAUUUCCAACGUGUCAGGAGUACACAACUAUGACCCGGAUGGAAUGGUGACAGGUCAACAGGUGUGGAACAUGACAGAAAAUGGGAGAUGAAUAACCCGAAGAAGAGGAAUCUGGAGACCGAGAAAAGCAGACACCGCGUUUUGGAGUCAUCAGUUGUCCGAGACUGUCAGAAACAACCCUGUACACAACGUAAAAAAGUGUGUAGACCUACAGAAUCACCGGCAAAAGAAGAAGCAGGCGCCGCCGGUACUGGCUGAAACCAUCCCUGAGAGCCAUGGCAUGGCAGCAGGUAAAGAUAGAACUCUUCCCGACCCUGUCAUCCUUGAGGCAGGAGUCACAGAUGAGGGAGACCCGACGCCGUCUGAGCCGGCAACCCUCUCCGAUUCCGAUCUACCUGCAACCCUGUCCAACCUGGUCAAUCAUACCUGAGAUCUAUCAUAGCACCACGCGUGAACAAGGCCGUGAACCCCAUUUCUUCCAGCACGACAGUGGACCAGGACAGAUUCCUUAUCUUCACAACGAAACCCAACUUAGAAUUCUGUCGGGCAUGCAAGCAUGUGUUUGCAGAUGGAUCAUUCAAGAAGAUCCCAUCUUUAUGCCAGGAGGUGCACACCAUUCACAGGAUGCACAGAAAGGAUGCACCUCACCUGCAUGAUGGAGUCAAUGGUUUAUGCAGCAGCCUAUAUUGUUAUGACGGAUAAGUCUGAGCAAACAUGUUGUUGCACAACACAUAUACUUGUGCGUUCCAAGUGCUGAAGAGCCUGCGACCCACCACGUCAAGAUGUUCUACACACUCACAUUUGUUCUGCCAGCUGACGCGGUGAAGUGUUCCAAGGAGCUGAAGGAAACGGCAUUCUUUUAGGUACCGGAGCUGUCCACCUUUCUGGAGAACUUUGAGAAGACGUGGAUUGUCACUGGGGAGAAAGGAAUAUAACAUGGAAAUGUGUAACUACCACGAUGUUGUCCUACAAGACAUCUGGAAGACCAACAGCAUAGUGAAGGCCUGGUAUCGCUUUGGAAGGCCUGGUAUCACUUUGGUUAUUUUUUGAGAAGACCAGACAACCCACAAUCUGGGAGUUCAUUGACAACUUGUGACUCCUUGGGACGACUACUCAUUACCAAACUGUGGCCUAAAUGUUCUUGCCCCUGCGUCUAUUUGUGUUUUUAAUGCAGGCACUUCUUUUUUUGCUAUUUUCUAUUUUCGAUGCAAACUUUGUUAAACCAGGCUUUUUGUAAAUAAACCUUUCAUUGUAAAUCAUCGGCUUGCUUCAUUCAUUCUUGAGGGAUGAACAAAACGAAUAUGGAGACUGCUGUGCUUUCCCGUUCAGGAACAUUUGGUACUCCAGUCCUGUCCCAUUGGUUCCCACAUUACUCAGACCAAACAUGAAGUCUCUCUGUCCCAUCAAGUCUAUGCUUGGCAGCUUUGGCUCAGCUAACGGAUUCUCUAAAUAUUUUUCCCGCUAUCCAAUAAAACGGUCUGUGUUAAAAUAAUUCCUAUACUUUACAGAAAAAAAUCAAAAUAAAGAACUUUUCAAAUUUGAUUAGCUAAUUGAAUUCACACAGAACUGUAGAAAUGCUAUGCCCAUAUAAAGUUUGUUUUAAAAGAGAGAGCAGGGUAAAAAAAAAUAUAUAAAAAAACUUGAAGGGAGAAAAAGCUACAACGCUGUCAAAUGAGAGCAUUAUAUUCCCAAUACUAACAGUGGCAAUUAUUUCCAAAACGUGUG